rnacentral:rRNA from 1 species
AUAUGGGCUAAGCGUGCGUAGGCGGCUUUUCAAGUCUGAUGUGAAAUCCCUGAGCUCAACUGAGGAACUGCGUUGGAAACUGAUUCGCUAGAAUGUCGUAKGGGUGUGCGGAACUCCCCGUGUAACGGUGAAAUGCGUAGAUAUUGGCAAGAACACCGGUGGCGAAGCGGUCUCGCUGGGCSAUAACUGACGCUGAGGCACGAAAGCCWGGGGAGCGAACGGGAUUUAGAUACCCCGGUAGUCCUGGCCGUAAACGAUGASUACUGGGGUGGAGGGAGUUUCCCCUUUCUGCCGUAGCGCAAGCGUUAGUGUAGUCCUCCGCCUGGAGUAGUACUCGCGGGCUGAAAUUCUCAAGAAUUGUUGGGGGAGCACAACA